CAGUCGCCGCGGUAAUACGUAGGUGGCAAGCGUUGUCCGGAAUUAUUGGGCGUAGAGCGCGCGCAGGUGGUUUAAUAAGUCUGAUGUGAAAGCCCACGGCUCAACCGUGGAGGGUCAUUGGAAACUGUUAGACUUGAGUGCAGGAGGGAAAAGUGGAAUUCCUAGUGUAGCGGUGAAAUGCGUAGAGAUUAGGAGGAACACCAGUGGCGAAGGCGGCUUUUUGGCCUGUAACUGACACUGAGGCGCGAAAGCGUGGGGAGCAAACAGGAUUAGAUACCCCAGUAGUCCCUGUCUCUUAUAC
rnacentral:rRNA from 1 species